GACAGAGGAUGCAAGCGUUAUCCGGAAUGAUUGGGCGUAAAGCGUCUGUAGGUGGCUUUUUAAGUCCGCCGUCAAAUCCCAGGGCUCAACCCUGGACAGGCGGUGGAAACUACCAAGCUGGAGUACGGUAGGGGCAGAGGGAAUUUCCGGUGGAGCGGUGAAAUGCGUAGAGAUGUGGAGGAAUACCAAUGGCGAAGGCAGCCCCCUGGGAUAAUAUUGACGCUCAUGCACGAAAGCGUGGGGAGCAAACAGG
rnacentral:rRNA from 1 species